UACGGGGGGGGCAAGCGUUGUUCGGAAUUACUGGGCGUAAAGGGCGCGUAGGCGGUCUGUUAAGUCGGAUGUGAAAACUCUGGGCUCAACCCAGAGCCUGCAUCCGAAACUGGCAGGCUAGAGUUCUGGAGGGGGUAGCGGAAUUCCUGGUGUAGCGGUGAAAUGCGUAGAUAUCAGGAGGAACACCGGUGGCGAAGGCGGCUACCUGGACAGAAACUGACGCUGAGGCGCGAAAGCUAGGGGGAGCAAACAGG
rnacentral:rRNA from 1 species